rnacentral:rRNA from 1 species
CUUUUAUGGAGAGUUUGAUCCUGGCUCAGGACGAACGCUGGCGGCGUGCCUAAUACAUGCAAG